rnacentral:rRNA from 1 species
UAGCCGGCCUGAGAGGGCGAUCGGCCACACUGGAACUGCGACACGGUCCAGACUCCUACGGGAGGCAGCAGUGAGGAAUCUUGCGCAAUGGGCGAAAGCCUGACGCAGCGACGCCGCGUGGAGGAUGAAGGUCUUCGGAUUGUAAACUCCUGUCGAGUGGGACGAAUGCCGAGAGGGUGAAUACCCCUUUCGGUUGACGGUACCGCUGGAGGAAGCCCCGGCUAACUCCGUGCCAGCAGCCGCGGUAAUACGGAGGGGGCUAGCGUUGUUCGGAAUCAUUGGGCGUAAAGGGCGCGUAGGCGGCCGAUCAAGUCGGAGGUGAAAUCCCUCGGCUCAACUGAGGAAUUGCCUUCGAUACUGUUCGGCUUGAGUCCUGGAGAGGGUAGCGGAAUUCCCGGUGUAGCGGUGAAAUGCGUAGAGACCGGGAAGAACACCAGUGGCGAAGGCGGCUACCUGGACAGGUACUGACGCUGGAGCGCGAAAGCUAGGGGAGCAAACAGGAUUAGAUACCCUGGUAGUCC